CCGCGGCCGCUGCCGGCGCUGUCCCUGGUGCUGGCGGCGGCACCGAGCUCCUGCCGCGGCCCGCCGGGACCGCCUGCCCCCGGCCGGGCGGGCACGUCCCGGCGGCAGCGGGUGGCCCGGCGCGGCGGGAGCGUCCCCGGCGGAAGAAAAACCCAGCAGCCCAACGGGGCUGAAGCGCAGGGGAAGAAGCGGCGGGCAGGGCAGGGGUGCGGAGGCGGCAGGAAAGCGGGUCCGCCCACGCCUCCGCCUGUGCGCGGUGCAGAGCCGCUGCCCCGACGGCGUCCCCGGGCGGGUCCCCCCGCGCACCCCUCCCGGCAAGUCCGCCUCCGCCCCCCCCCCCCGUCUGAAACAGCCGGGUUUGAGGCAGGUCCUGCAGGGGGUCUGCCCCGCUCCCGUCCAGGCUCCGUCGGCGGCCACCUCCGCGGCCUGAUUCUGCACUGCCCUCUAUCAAACGGCGGCCACAGCCAGCGAGGGCAGGGGAUGCUCUCAAACGCUAAAUAAGGCAAACCAACUAAGUAACGGUAAUAACCACAAGAACAAUAAUGAUAACAAUACUAUCCGCCCGGUGGUCGAGGGCUUUGCCCUCCUCCCUCUUGCACUCAGCAGACAGUGCUGAUCGCAGCGGGUUUUUUGCCAGAGACUGGAUUGCAGAUUGGACUGGUCGCCCUUCUCUGCAAGGGCAUAAAGGGGACGAUUCCUGCCCUUUCCCCAGCCUCUCGCCUUUUCACCCCCUUGUAAUCAUCCCUGCGUGGUCCAGAGGACAGAUGAAGCACAGGGGUUACUCUGUCCUUUCCCUCCAGCUCAGCAAGUUGGGGUCGAGUCUCCCCUGAUGCAUUGCCUGCUCCUGCCAUGCCGCAUAGCUGUUCUCUUUUCUUGCUUUGAGAUACCUGUACACAUAUAUACAUCUACCUACACACGUAUAUGCACAUUUGUGUGUGUUUAUCUAUGCAGCCUCAGAGUGUGAUAAUUUCUGUUUACCAUCGCUUCUUGCUUAUAUUUCCUUUGUAAGACCCAGAGCGUCGCAGGAUCUCAGGGGAGCCGCGCAGGGAACAGAGAAAAGUCCAUCUUCGCCUGCUUGUGUGUGAGCCAGGAUGAGCCGCAGCCAAGAUUGACCCUUACACAGGCGGUGGCUAAGAAAGGUGUAGAGCACAGGUAAGUCAGGCGGUAAGCAAAGCAAGCCCUCUGGCAGAGUAAGCACUCUCCCACUGCCUGUGGAAUAGAGCCUGUCCCAGCAGCAGGAUCUUCCCCGAUGCCUCCACUGAGAGAUGCAGAGAAGCAGCACUGCAUCUGUCGCUUCAAGGCCUGGUGCACGACUGCCACUGCCGUGGUGCGGGAGAGCGGAUGAGCCAGCCAGCAAGACCAUAUCUGUUCAGUCUACUAAUAUUUGUGGAUAAAAUGAGAAGAGCAGCUAUGACAGGAAAACUAAAGACAAAGCAAGCAUUGGAAAAAAGUCACCUAAAGAUGCAAAAGUUGAGGAAACCCUAAAUACAGGAAAACAAGAGGUUAAAACUGAAGUCGACUGGUUUUACCAUCUUAAACUACAAACACUGAUGCCUUUCCAGAUAUAACACAUGAGCCUGCAAGAUGACAGCUAUUCUGUGGCUCACGUGUGGAUGUCAAGGACCAAAGAUGAAAGACUACCCAAGCUAAUCUGCAUGGAAACUGCAAAAGCACCUGGAAUAUUAGGGGAAUACAGAAACUGAGUGUUUUAUUAGGAAGAACGCAACUGGUCCUGAGUAGAAAUGAGGACUGAGAUUCAAUACAAAUUUAAGUGAAGAGAAAUAAUUCUGCAACUUCAGAAGUUUACACCGCAAUAUGGAGAAGCACAGAAAGGAGACAAAUAGUUCAAAGAGCAAGAGAACUGUGAAAAUUACAUACAAAUGUUUUUUAAACGUAUAAUGUGUUUUCUUCAGUUGCGUAUGUUCAUCCUUUUACAUUCAGCUUAAGACAUUUGUGCAAGCAACUUUAUUUCCAGCAAACAUUAACAUUUUGUGGGCAAACACAAAAAUCCCUAGAUUUUUAUCUCUCCACAUGCACAUGUUUUUGUUCAAUUUAUUCAAGCACUCAUCCUCUCAGAAAGUAAGAAUGAUUCUAUCCAGCAAGCAAGAACCACAGACAGGCCUCAAGUGAAUAAGGAAAGCCUUCGAAAAGCCUUUUUCUGCUGAAAACGGAAACAUCUGCUGAGCAUGUCAGAGGAAGCUGUGCCUGCUGGAUUCCUGACUGCAGCAUAUUUCUUCCUUGAGCCACGUGAAGUAGGAUGAAGGGCAGAGGAGAUGGUGAGCAGGGAUAACCCUUGAGCGCUGGGACGGCAAUUUCAGCCCAAAGUCUGCUCUGAAGGAGGGGAUACGAGAGGCUGCUACAAAACAGGAAGACAAAUCCUUCCUUCUGCUUAUGUACGUCCAGACCUGGAAUUUAGAAAGGCCAACAAAGGAGAGCAGUAGCUGAAUCCAGGCAGGAAAAGCCAAAAUGACUCCUGUGAAGCAAUUACAAAUGUCAGAGAUAAAUCAGAACAGCCUUAUCAAUGAAAGAGAAAGAUGGCUGAUCUUUCGAAAUUCUUCUGAAAAAUCCCUACAGAAUGAGCAGUAGAAAGUUGGCUUUGAAUCUGUUGGAAUUAUACAGAAAUACUAAAUUAUUGUGUUAUAUAUAUACACAUUAAUUAAUGUAACACAAAUCAAUAUAAUGGACAACAGUAUUGCAUAUGUUCUCCAUCCAAAAUUCUGCGUUUCCCUGUUGUGUUUCGGAGUUUGCAUCCUAUAGCACAUGAUUCCUACAUUUUCCUUAAUUUUAGAAACUGUCCUACUAGCAGCCACUGCUUUUCUGGCUGAGAAUGACAAGGUGGGGUUUUAGCCUUCAACACUGUUCAGCAUCGGGAGCAAAGUUGGGUGAAAUGAAUCUUCUACCCUUAGGUGAGAUGGACUGGAGCUGAAAUGCCUGAGUUGCACACAGAGUUGCCACGGCCUCCUAUCCCUACUGAGAGCCGACACGUUUAGAAAGUGGUUGCAAUGGUAGGGAGGGAUUAGCAGGUAUCACACGAACGGAUCAUGUUUUCUGAAGGUUCUGGAGAAAAAAACUAAGGAGAGCUGGAGGUGUUCUGGAAAGCUGAUUUGGGAGAACUGAAUUUCCUACUUUUUCAGUUUGCCUAACAGUGAGAGAAAAUCUAAUGAAAUAGGUAUUCUUAACAGGGCCAAAAAUUGUCUGAGCUCUCCCAAACAAUCAGCUUCAGAAAAAUAAAACCCUGGAAAAUGCACAGCAAGAACUUAAGAAUAUGACCAAGACGAAUAAGGAAAAGUGACUUGACACUCUUUACUUAAAAGUCUUCUAUAUUCUGGCUUCUGACUAUGAAUUAUUUAAAAGGUGUUUGGAAAACCUCAUCACUUAUGGGAAAAAUCUGCGUCUCUAAAGAGAUCACAGCUUUGUUGUCAGGAUCCUAAUUUAUUAUUUCAAUAUACCAUCCUAGGGGUGCCCAGCUACUGAAACAAGAAAAAGUAAUUUUAAGAAGUUUAUUUACCCAGUUUUCUUUUUUUCCUCCAAAUACAAUGUAAUAGGCUUGACUACCCUUCCUCUAGACAGCUCCUGGGAGGGCUUGUGAAGACAGCACAGCAAGGGGGGCCUGCAGAACCACGCCAGCAGCCUGAGACACAGCAAUUGCUAGACAACUGGCAUCUAAAUUCAACGAUAUUUAUAAUCUUUCAUCCAAUGGCUGGUUCUCACCACAGAGAACUCCAGGGAUAGUAACUUGCUGGUAAGCCCACAUUUCAGUUCUGGUACUCAGUCUAGGCUUCAGCAACCACCUAUCAAAGCUCUUGAGAUCUGCCUACUCUGGCAGGAGCAGAUAAGCAUAUGUAUAUAUACAUCGCACAGCCUUUCAGCAGGUUGAGUCCCCAGUGCCGCGGUUUGGGAAGCACUGGUACAGCUUAUUGAAGUUUUAGCUAAAGUUCCUGGUGUAAGAAAGCUGUGACCACAGCAGUACCGGUUAUUACAGAAGUUCUCUCAUUGGAAGUGAUUAAGAAGAAACCUGACCAAGUAUUUCUGCAGGUCAAGCACUGGCAGGGCAGAGGAGCAACAUUACAAACAUUACAUUUUCAGGAUCUCAUUCGUGUGAUUCUCUCUGCUGCUCUCUACUACUUAUAUGAUGCAACUCUGUUUAUAGCAAAGUGGGGACAGUAGGGACUGCUUAAUCAGGACAGUCUAAUGUAUGGGCAAUUAUCCAAAGCCACACGUUUUCUAAAUUCUGUAUGGGCAGAGAUGGAGCUUAAGAGCUCUGUAGGGAUCAGAGCUGCUAACAAACUUCUAAGGAGGGCUCUGGGGACUGGGAUGUGCAUAAUGAGAAAAUCUGGAUAUUCAGUGUGAAGAACUCUCCCAAUUUAGCUGCAGUCUAUGUAAAUUAAAUUUGUAUUUAAUGCUUGUCACUAUGCAGUCCUCUUUAGCACUGGGAUAAAUUGGGUAGCCUGUGGUUUUUCACUUUUUUGUUAUUAGUAUGGCUGAAAGUGGUUCAGAAAGGUGAGAUGUGGAAAACUUGGACAAGCAUGCUGUUGGGAAGUACUAUUAUAUAGCCAAAUUUUCCUGUCAGCUCCCACCUCUUCAGGCUACAGCAUCAUGUCUGCAUGCUACAUGCUUAUUUAUUUCCAUGUGUUACAUUUGAACAUCAUAUGCACAUAGUCUGUAUAUAUAUGUACAUAUACAUGUCUGUGUAUAUACACACACAUACAUUUAUAACACACCUACUAAAACAAAGGGGUCUAGAGAACCUUUAAAAUACUGGAUUUAAAAAAGAAGAAGAGAAAAAAAUCUUCUAAAAUACUUAAUUCUAUGUUUUCUUCUAUUCCUUCCACAUAACUAAAAGUGCUUCCAGUAUAUUUAACUUCCGAAAGUCUGAAGACAUCCUUGGUGUUUACCCUUAGUUCUAAUCCAGUUCCUUUAUUACUGAGUCAGUUCAGAAAAACAUCUCUGUUCAGGAAAGCACUUAAACAUACACUUAAGUACAUUCUUAAAGGUAACUUCUCGAAUCAGUCUAAUAAUUUAAAGUAGUAUUAAUAAACAAUCCUUAAUAAAC